UUAAAGGGUUAGUUCACCCAAAAAUGAAAUUUCUGUCAUUAAUUACUCACCCUCAUGUCGUUCCACAUCCAUAAGACCUUCGUUCAUCUUCGGAAUACAUAAGAUAUUUUUGAUGAAAUCCAAGGGGUUUUUUUAUCCCCCAUUGAAAGCAACAAAAUUACCAUUUUCAAGACACAGAAAGGUACUAAAGACAACGUUAAAAUAGUUCAUGUGACUACGGUGGCUUUUUGAAGCUGCGAAAAUACUUUUUGUGUGCAAAAACGAAACAAAAAUAACGACUUUAUUCAACAAUUUCUUUUCUACCCCGUCAGUCUCCUACGCUGUUUACGUUGUAGAGACACCGCAGCGCUUCCAGGUUCUACGUCAGAACACCGGCUCAGUAUAAAGUCAUUAUUUUUGUUUUAAUUUUGCGCACAAAAAGUAUUCUCGUCGCUUCAUAACAUUAAGGUUGAACCACUGUAGUCAAAUGGACUAUUUUAACGAGGUCUUUAGUACCUUUCUGGACCUUGAAUGUGGUAAUUUUGUUGCUUUCAAUGGGGGAUAAAAAAAAAUCUCUUGGAUUUCAUCAAACAUCUUAAUUUGUGUUCCGAAGAUGAGCUUCUUUUUUAACUGGUUUUUCGGGUGUGGAACGACAUGAGGGUGAGUAAUUAAUGACAGAAAUUUUAUUUUUAGGGUGAACUAACCCUUUAAGUUCAGGAAAUCUUCAGCUUUUUAUAAUAAUGUGAAAUACAAGAAAGUAUAUUUAAUCAUAUGGACCAAAAUAAGAUACUAAACUAGCUUUUUGUGUUUGCCUGUUUUGUUUACAUAAUACUAAACGCGAAGUGUGAACUUAGUUUAAUGCACUUUACAUAUAGAAGUCCAGAACACAGUAAAGAAGUCAAAAGGGAAAAGAGUUAUGCUACAUUUAUAAGUGUGAGUGUUGUAAAUGCAUAUCCAAACUUUUUCCUGUAAUUCUUUUCAAAAUAUUGAAUGGUUAUAAUUCUAUUUUUGUAAAAGUCCUGUACCAUUUCAUAUUUGUUUUGUUAAGCACAAUACCUGGUUUGUGUGUGUCAUUAAAGUCCUUUAACUUUUGCUACUGUGCAAAGAACUACAAA